GCAAGCGUGGCCGAGUGGUCCAAGGCGGCAGUUUAAGGUACUGUUCUUUUCGGAGGCGUGGGUUCGAACCCCACCGCUUGCA
rfam:Fulvimarina pelagi HTCC2506 scf_1100011000321 genomic scaffold, whole genome shotgun sequence.